CUCGCUCAGAUUGAACGCUGGCGGCAUGCCUUACACAUGCAAGUCGAACGGCAGCACGGGGGCAACCCUGGUGGCGAGUGGCGAACGGGUGAGUAAUACAUCGGAACGUGUCCUGUAGUGGGGGAUAGCCCGGCGAAAGCCGGAUUAAUACCGCAUACGCUCUACGGAGGAAAGGGGGGGAUCUCAGGACCUCCCGCUACAGGGGCGGCCGAUGGCAGAUUAGCUAGUUGGUGGGGUAAAGGCCUACCAAGGCGACGAUCUGUAGCUGGUCUGAGAGGACGACCAGCCACACUGGGACUGAGACACGGCCCAGACUCCUACGGGAGGCAGCAGUGGGGAAUUUUGGACAAUGGGCGAAAGCCUGAUCCAGCAAUGCCGCGUGUGUGAAGAAGGCCUUCGGGUUGUAAAGCACUUUUGUCCGGAAAGAAAACCUCCGCCCUAAUAUGGUGGGGGGAUGACGGUACCGGAAGAAUAAGCACCGGCUAACUACGUGCCAGCAGCCGCGGUAAUACGUAGGGUGCAAGCGUUAAUCGGAAUUACUGGGCGUAAAGCGUGCGCAGGCGGUCCGCUAAGACAGAUGUGAAAUCCCCGGGCUUAACCUGGGAACUGCAUUUGUGACUGGCGGGCUAGAGUAUGGCAGAGGGGGGUAGAAUUCCACGUGUAGCAGUGAAAUGCGUAGAGAUGUGGAGGAAUACCGAUGGCGAAGGCAGCCCCCUGGGCCAAUACUGACGCUCAUGCACGAAAGCGUGGGGAGCAAACAGGAUUAGAUACCCUGGUAGUCCACGCCCUAAACGAUGUCAACUAGUUGUUGGGGAUUCAUUUCCUUAGUAACGUAGCUAACGCGUGAAGUGAC
rnacentral:rRNA from 1 species